GACGUAGGUGGCGAACGUUAUCCGGAAUUAUUGGGCGUAAAGCGUGCGCAGGCGGCUUCUCAAGUCAGGGGUGAAAGCCCAGAGCUUAACUCUGGAAUUGCCUUUGAGACUGAGAGGCUUGAGUACGGGAGAGGUGAGUGGAAUUCCUAGUGUAGAGGUGAAAUUCGUAGAUAUUAGGAAGAACACCAGUGGCGAAGGCGGCUCACUGGCCCGGUACUGACGCUGAGGCGCGAAAGCGUGGGGAGCAAACAGG
rnacentral:rRNA from 1 species